GGCUGGGCACAGUGGCUAACACCUGUAAUCCCAGCACUUUGGGAGGCCAAGAUGGGCAAAUCAAGAGGUCUGGAGAUUGAAACCGUCCUGGCCAACAUGGUGAAAUGCUGCCUAUACUAAAA